CCCUCGGCUCCUCAGUGGUUCGGCCGGCGGGCGGGAGGACGCCCGGCGCGCAAGGAGGAGAGCCGAGCCGAGCGCCGCGCACCCGGCUGCGCACCCCGUGCCCCCUGUGCCCACCGCGCCCGCCGCAGCGUAGCCUUUUGCCUUUCAGGGCUGUAUGCUCCAGGUCUCAAUGAGGAGCCCAAACAUGGAGACGUUCAAGCAGCAGAAGGUAGAGGACUUUUACGACAUCGGAGAGGAGCUGGGAAGAACUUUUUGAAGUAAAGCCAGUGUGUCCGUGGACCCAGAUGGGAUCGCAUGACCAUGAUAAUCUAUAACUUGCUUUUUUCACAAAAUACAUUGACUAUCUUUUUAUAGUCAUGUAUAUAGAUCUAUGAGGCUUACUUUGGAUGAAAGUUUUUUUUUUAAUAAAAAAUGUAAGAAGACAGUGGUGUAAGCCAAUAAAA